rnacentral:tRNA from 1 species
GCCCGGGUGGCGGAAUUGGCAGACGCGUAUGACUCAAAAUCAUAUGGGAUUUUAUCCCGUGUGGGUUCGACUCCCACCCCGGGCA